rnacentral:rRNA from 1 species
CAAGGAUGCUGGCAUAAUGGUCAUCAGUGACCCGUCUUGAAACACGGACCAAGGAGUCGUCUUCGUAUGCGAGUGUUCGGGUGUUAAACCCCUACGCGUAAUGAAAGUGAACGCAGGUGAGAGCCCUCCAGGGCGCAUCAUCGACCGAUCCUGAUGUUCUCGGAUGGAUUUGAGUAAGAGCAUACGGGGCCGGACCCGAAAGAAGGUGAACUAUGCCUGUAUAGGGUGAAGCCAGAGGAAACUCUGGUGGAGGCUCGCAGCGGUUCUGACGUGCAAAUCGAUCGUCAAAUAUGGGCAUGGGGGCGAAAGACUAAUCGAACCUUCUAGUAGCUGGUUUCCGCCGAAGUUUCCCUCAGGAUAGCAGUGUUGAUUUCUCAGUUUUAUGAGGUAAAGCGAAUGAUUAGGGACCCGGGGGCGGCUUAUAGCCUUCAUCCAUUCUCAAACUUUAAAUAUGUAAGAAGCCCUUGUUGCUUAGGUGAACGUGGGCAUUCGAAUGUAUCAACACUAGUGGGCCAUUUUUGGUAAGCAGAACUGGCGAUGCGGGAUGAACCGAACGCGAGGUUAAGGUGCCAGAGUAGACGCUCAUCAGACACCACAAAAGGUGUUAGUACAUCUUGACAGCAGGACGGUGGCCAUGGAAGUCGGAAUCCGCUAAGGACUGUGUAACAACUCACCUGCCGAAUGUACUAGCCCUGAAAAUGGAUGGCGCUCAAGCGUCUCACCCAUACCUCGCCCUCGGGGUAGGAACGAUGCCCCGAGGAGUAGGCGGACGUGGGGGUCAGUGACGAAGCCCAGGGCGUGAGCCCGGGUCGAACGGCCCCUAGUGCAGAUCUUGGUGGUAGUAGCAAAUACUUCAAUGAGAACUUGAAGGACCGAAGUGGGGAUAAGUCGGAUC